GAUGAACGCUGGCGGCGUGCCUAACACAUGCAAGUCGAACGAAGCACUUUAGCUUGAUUCUUCGGAUGAAGGCUAUUGUGACUGAGUGGCGGACGGGUGAGUAACGCGUGGGUAACCUGCCUCAUACAGGGGGAUAACAGAUAGAAAUGACUGCUAAUACCGCAUAAGACCACGGAGUCGCAUGACUCAGUGGGAAAAACUCUGGUGGUAUGAGAUGGACCCGCGUCUGAUUAGGUAGUUGGUGGGGUAACGGCCUACCAAGCCGACGAUCAGUAGCCGACCUGAGAGGGUGACCGGCCACAUUGGAACUGGGACACGGUCCAGACUCCUACGGGAGGCAGCAGUAGGGAAUUUUCCACAAUGGGCGAAAGCCUGAUGGAGCAAUGCCGCGUGCGGGAUGAAGGUCUUAGGACUGUAAACCGCUUUUAUAUGUGAAGAUUAUGACGGUAGCAUAUGAAUAAGGAUCGGCUAACUACGUGCCAGCCGCCGCGGUAA
rnacentral:rRNA from 1 species